GGUUAAGCGACUAAGCGUACACGGUGGAUGCCCUGGCAGUCAGAGGCGAUGAAGGACGUGCUAAUCUGCGAUAAGCGUCGGUGAGGUGAUAUGAACCGUUAUAACCGGCGAUUUCCGAAUGGGGAAACCCAGUGUGAUUCGUCACACUAUCAUUAACUGAAUCCAUAGGUUAAUGAGGCGAACCGGGGGAACUGAAACAUCUAAGUACCCCGAGGAAAAGAAAUCAACCGAGAUUCCCCCAGUAGCGGCGAGCGAACGGGGAGGAGCCCAGAGCCUGAAUCAGUGUGUGUGUUAGUGGAAGCGUCUGGAAAGGCGCGCGAUACAGGGUGACAGCCCCGUACACAAAAAUGCACAUACUGUGAGCUCGAUGAGUAGGGCGGGACACGUGGUAUCCUGUCUGAAUAUGGGGGGACCAUCCUCCAAGGCUAAAUACUCCUGACUGACCGAUAGUGAACCAGUACCGUGAGGGAAAGGCGAAAAGAACCCCGGCGAGGGGAGUGAAAAAGAACCUGAAACCGUGUACGUACAAGCAGUGGGAGCACAGAGCAAUCUGUGUGACUGCGUACCUUUUGUAUAAUGGGUCAGCGACUUAUAUUCUGUAGCAAGGUUAACCGAAUAGGGGAGCCGAAGGGAAACCGAGUCUUAACUGGGCGUUAAGUUGCAGGGUAUAGACCCGAAACCCGGUGAUCUAGCCAUGGGCAGGUUGAAGGUUGGGUAACACUAACUGGAGGACCGAACCGACUAAUGUUGAAAAAUUAGCGGAUGACUUGUGGCUGGGGGUGAAAGGCCAAUCAAACCGGGAGAUAGCUGGUUCUCCCCGAAAGCUAUUUAGGUAGCGCCUCGUGAAUUCAUCUCCGGGGGUAGAGCACUGUUUCGGCAAGGGGGUCAUCCCGACUUACCAACCCGAUGCAAACUGCGAAUACCGGAGAAUGUUAUCACGGGAGACACACGGCGGGUGCUAACGUCCGUCGUGAAGAGGGAAACAACCCAGACCGCCAGCUAAGGUCCCAAAGUCAUGGUUAAGUGGGAAACGAUGUGGGAAGGCCCAGACAGCCAGGAUGUUGGCUUAGAAGCAGCCAUCAUUUAAAGAAAGCGUAAUAGCUCACUGGUCGAGUCGGCCUGCGCGGAAGAUGUAACGGGGCUAAACCAUG
rnacentral:rRNA from 1 species